rnacentral:rRNA from 1 species
GAUGAACGCUAGCGGCAGGCCUAAUACAUGCAAGUCGAACGCGAUUAAGGUGCUUGCACCUUAUGAAAGUGGCGCACGGGUGCGUAACGCGUAUGCAACCUACCUUUAUCAGGGGGAUAGCCCGGAGAAAUCCGGAUUAAUACCGCAUAAAAUCACAGGAUAGCAUUUUCCAAUGAUCAAACAUUUAUGGGAUAAAGAUGGGCAUGCGUGUCAUUAGCUAGUUGGCGGGGUAACGGCCCACCAAGGCGACGAUGACUAGGGGAUCUGAGAGGAUGGCCCCCCACACUGGUACUGAGACACGGACCAGACUCCUACGGGAGGCAGCAGUAAGGAAUAUUGGUCAAGGGAGGGAACUCUGAACCAGCCAUGCCGCGUGCAGGAAGACUGCCCUAUGGGUUGUAAACUGCUUUUAUCCGGGAAUAAACCUACUUACGUGUAAGUAGCUGAAUGUACCGGAAGAAUAAGGAUCGGCUAACUCCGUGCCAGCAGCCGCCGUAAUAC